rnacentral:tRNA from 1 species
GGUAGGUUAGCUCAGCUGGUCAGAGCGUGAUGCUACUAAUGUCAAGGUUGUGGGUUUGAUCCCCGUUUGAGUCA